rnacentral:rRNA from 1 species
GCACAAGCGGUGGAGCAUGUGGUUUAAUUCGACGCAACGCGAAGAACCUUACCAGGGCUUGACAUCCCCUGACCGCGUAUGAAGUACGUUUCACCCUCGGGUGACAGGGAGACAGGUGGUGCAUGGUUGUCGUCAGCUCGUGUCGUGAGAUGUUGGGUUAAGUCCCGCAACGAGCGCAACCCUUGUCCUUAGUUGCCAGCAUUCAGUUGGGCACUCUAAGGAGACUGCCGGUGUCAAACCGGAGGAAGGUGGGGAUGACGUCAAGUCCUCAUGGCCCUUAUGUCCAGGGCUACACACGUGCUACAAUGGCCGGUACAAAGGGGCGCAAGACCGCGAGGUGGAGCAAAUCCCAAAAAACCGGUCUCAGUUCGGAUUGGAGUCUGCAACUCGACUCCAUGAAGUUGGAAUCGCUAGUAAUCGCGUACCAGCAUGACGCGGUGAAUACGUUCCCGGGCCUU